rnacentral:rRNA from 1 species
CGGGUAGCGGAACACGUACGCAAUCUACCCAAAACUGGUGAAUAGCCCUCCGAAAGGAGGAUUAAUACACCGUAACCUAAUGAAGUGGCAUCACUCUAUUAGUAUAGCUCCGGCGGUUUUGGAUGAGCGUGCGGCUGAUUAGGUAGUUGGCGGGGUAACGGCCCACCAAGCCUGCGAUCAGUAACUGGUGUGAGAGCACGACCAGUCACACGGGCACUGAGACACGGGCCCG